rnacentral:rRNA from 1 species
CUGCUGCCUUCCGUAGGAGUUUGGACCGUGUCUCAGUUCCAAUGUGGGGGACCUUCCUCUCAGAACCCCUACGCAUCGUCGGCUUGGUGGGCCGUUGCCCCACCAACUACCUAAUGCGCCGCAUGCCCAUCCAUGACCGGGGUCGCCCCCUUUGACCGGCAGGGGAUGUCCCCUCCCGGCAUUAUGUUAGUAUUAGGCGGGAUUUCUCCCGGUUAUCCAUCUGUCACGGCCAGGUUGCAUACGUGUUACUCACCCGUGCGCCGGUCGCCGGCGG